UACCUCGUGGUGUAGUGGUAGCACACAUCCACGGAAUGGAUGAAACGCGAGGUUCGACUCCCGGUUGAGGUCCUAU